rnacentral:rRNA from 1 species
AGCAGCCGCGGUAAUUCCAGCUCCAAUAGCGUAUAUUAAAGUUGUUGCAGUUAAAAAGCUCGUAGUUGAACUUCGGGGUUCACCCAUUGGUCAGGCUUAAUUGUCUGUACUGGUGAGAUGAGUCUCUACCUUCUGAGGAACUUUCAUGUCAUUUGUUUGGUGUGAUUGGAAAUCAGGACUGUUACUUUGAAAAAAUUGAGUGUUUAAAGCAGGCUAACGUCUGAAUACAUUAGCAUGGAAUAAUGAAAUAGGACGGAUUGAUUCUAUUUCGUUGGUUUCUAGGGUCACCGUAAUGAUUAAUAGGGAUAGUUGGGGGCAUUAGUAUUCAAUUGUCGGAGGUGAAAUUCUUGUAUUUAUUGAAGACUAACUACUGCGAAAGCAUUUGCCAAGGAUGUUUUCAUUAAUCAAGAACGAAAGUUAGGGAUCGAAGACGAUCAGAUACCGUCGUAGUCUUAACCAUAAACUAUGCCGACUAGGGAUCGGACGCAGUUAAUUUUAUAAUUGACGUGUUCGGCACCUU